GGGUCCUAAGGAAGAGACAAAACUGUUGUCAGGGAAGAUUUGGGCUGUAAUUGUGCUUCUUGAUUGAUUGGGGCCCACAGUUGCAAGCUUACGAUAUCAGACUCAUUGGCCACAUUCUCACAGGAAAAUUAAACAGAUCUCCUAGUUUUUUGUGGUUUACUAUAAUUGAGCAGCAUAAGAUACACUGCCCAAUAACUCACCAUUCCGUAAUUCUUUGACAGAGAUAAAUAAAUGUGUAGGCCUUGGCUUCCCAUUAUGGCUAAAGCAGGCACUGUGAUUUUUUUGCUCCAUAACUGGGCACAUGACCAGCAAGCCAACGUUGGCUGGUGUUCAUAGCUUGGCAGGGAGCUACGAACCAUGAUCACAGUAGACCUCCUGCUUUGGUUUUCUCACUUGUUCUAGGAAAGUAGAAAUAGCUGGGCAGUAUGUGUGGGAUACCCAGCCUCAUAUAACCAACAUGCUUAACUAAUUAAUGCAUGAAAGGGUUAAGACCACAGAGUAAGCAGUCCUGCCAGGCUUAGCUAGGUCACCAAACUCUUUGUUGUUCCUUUCCACCAUGUGAACCCUACCAGUAAGGUGAUCUAAGCUGGAUGCUCCAAGCUUAGACCGUGUGGUUUAAGCAAGCCAUAUUUGUGUUUCUAUACAAAUGAUUUGGAAAUAUUUACCAUUUGGGAACCUGAGUUAUACUUCCUGUCUUUUUCUUGCUGCUGAAAGGAAAAGCACAUGACUCAGACCUUCGAAGAGUUUAGUUCUGCAGAAGAAGAAAGUUCUGCUACCUAGAGCUAUCAGGGAUACUGGAGUGGGGAGAAACAGCCAGAAGAGGCAUGGGGCAGGAAAGGCCCUUGUUGCCUCUUGCUUCCUGCCCCCACCUCCCCCCCUCACAUCUCAGGCAAUCUCCCAAAUACCAAAUUAGACUCUUAGUUUGGAAAAAGAACGUACAAAGGAUUUAAUUCUACUCAAGCCUUGCUGCCUCUUGCCCGCCCGCCUCAAAUCUCUCCAAUGCUGGAGUGGAAGAGACUCUUGAAGAGGUUUGGAGAAAAAACAGCAAGAAGAGCUUCAGGGGGCUAAUUUGAUUCGGCUCUCUUUUCUCAGCAACUAGGCUGGUUCCCGUUGCAGCUAGACAUCAGUUGAAGAAAGCUGGGAGAAAGUAAUUUUCUUGAUCUACACAAAGCACAUGCACCCACCCCGACACACAGAGAGCCCGCCAAUGUCCCAGUCUGUUCUUAUGGUUACAGAUCCUGCGCAGUUCUGUUAAAUCGGGGAUGUACGAAAAGAACAAAAACAGCCUCCCACAAAGCAAACUGUAAUUUAAUACUGUGUCAGCUAAUUAAGGGAAGGGGUGAUUAAGCGGAGAGCCAAAAAAGCAUACCCAGGGUAUUUUCUGCCAAACUCUGCCCAGUGGUGGAGACAGCAAGUAGAAAGACAGCAAUGAAUAUGUUGGGUAAGAAGAAGGGGUGGGUGCCAAUUGCAAACAGAGGAAAAUCAGGUCAGCAUGACCUUGUUGCAAGAUAAUGCUCCCAUCUGGACACAGCCUAACUCUAGGGGACCAGUCUCUUUUUCUGAAUGCUGUAUGGUAAAGCAGAUGAAUCUGACCUUUGGAGAGUUUUUAUGUAUCCUCCACUCACUCUUUCCCAUGAGGAAGUUCUCCAGAAACUCAUCCCAGUUUCCUGGUUCUGGCAACUCCUUGUUCAUGCG